GUGCCAGCAGCCGCGGUAAUACGGAGGGUGCAAGCGUUAUCCGGAUUCACUGGGUUUAAAGGGUGCGUAGGCGGACAGGUAAGUCAGUGGUGAAAUCUCCGGGCUUAACUCGGAAACUGCCGUUGAUACUAUCUGUCUUGAAUAUCAUGGAGGUAAGCAGAAUAUGUCAUGUAGCGGUGAAAUGCUUAGAUAUGACAUAGAAUACCGAUAGCGAAGGCAGCUUACUACAUGUUAAUUGACGCUGAGGCACGAAAGCGUGGGGAGCAAACAGGAUUAGAAACCCCCGUAGUCC
rnacentral:rRNA from 1 species